rnacentral:rRNA from 11 species
GCAUAUCAAUAAGCGGAGGAAAAGAAACUAACAAGGAUUCCCCUAGUAGCGGCGAGCGAAGCGGGAAGAGCUCAAAUUUAUAAUCUGGCACCUUCGGUGUCCGAGUUGUAAUCUCUAGAAAUGUUUUCCGCGUUGGACCGCACACAAGUCUGUUGGAAUACAGCGGCAUAGUGGUGAGACCCCCGUAUAUGGUGCGGACGCCCAGCGCUUUGUGAUACAUUUUCGAAGAGUCGAGUUGUUUGGGAAUGCAGCUCAAAUUGGGUGGUAAAUUCCAUCUAAAGCUAAAUAUUGGCGAGAGACCGAUAGCGAACAAGUACCGUGAGGGAAAGAUGAAAAGCACUUUGGAAAGAGAGUUAACAGUACGUGAAAUUGUUGGAAGGGAAACGCUUGAAGUCAGACUUGCUUGCCGAGCAAUCGGUUUGCAGGCCAGCAUCAGUUUUCCGGGAUGGAUAAUGGUAGAGAGAAGGUAGCAGUUUCGGCUGUGUUAUAGCUCUCUGCUGGAUACAUCUUGGGGGACUGAGGAACGCAGUGUGCCUUUGGCGGGGGUUUCGACCUCUUCACACUUAGGAUGCUGGUGGAAUGGCUUUAAACGACCCGUCUUGAAACACGGACC